rnacentral:rRNA from 1 species
AACGAACGCUGGCGGCAGGCUUAACACAUGCAAGUCGAACGCACCGCAAGGUGAGUGGCAGACGGGUGAGUAACGCGUGGGAAUCUACCCAGUCCUUCGGAAUAACACAGGGAAACUUGUGCUAAUACCGGAUACGCCCUACGGGGGAAAGAUUUAUCGGGAUUGGAUGAGCCCGCGUUGGAUUAGCUAGUUGGUGAGGUAAUGGCUCACCAAGGCGACGAUCCAUAGCUGGUCUGAGAGGAUGAUCAGCCACACUGGGACUGAGACACGGCCCAGACUCCUACGGGAGGCAGCAGUGGGGAAUCUUGGACAAUGGGCGCAAGCCUGAUCCAGCCAUGCCGCGUGAGUGAAGAAGGUCUUAGGGUUGUAAAGCUCUUUCGCCGGUGAAGAUAAUGACGGUAACCGGAGAAGAAGCCCCGGCUAACUUCGUGCCAGCCGCCGCAGUAAAAC